GUGGGGAAUCUUGCGCAAUGGGCGAAAGCCUGACGCAGCCAUGCCGCGUGAAUGAUGAAGGUCUUAGGAUUGUAAAAUUCUUUCACCGGGGACGAUAAUGACGGUACACGGAGAAGAAGCCCCGGCUAACUUCGUGCCAGCAGCCGCGGUAAUACGAAGGGGGCUAGCGUUGCUCGGAAUUACUGGGCGUAAAGGGCGCGUAGGCGGACAGCUUAGUCAGAGGUGAAAGCCCAGGGCUCAACCUUGGAAUUGCCUUUGAUACUGGCUGGCUUGAGUUUGGGAGAGGUGAGUGGAACUCCGAGUGUAGAGGUGAAAUUCGUAGAUAUUCGGAAGAACACCAGUGGCGAAGGCGACUCACUGGCCCAAUACUGACGCUGAGGCGCGAAAGCGUGGGGAGCAAACAGGAUUAGAAACCCGUGUAGUCC
rnacentral:rRNA from 1 species